AGAGUUUGAUCCUGGCUCAGGAUGAACGCUGGCGGCGUGCCUAAUACAUGCAAGUCGAGCGAACGGACGAGAAGCUUGCUUCUCUGAUGUUAGCGGCGGACGGGUGAGUAACACGUGGAUAACCUACCUAUAAGACUGGGAUAACUUCGGGAAACCGGAGCUAAUACCGGAUAAUAUUUUGAACCGCAUGGUUCAAAAGUGAAAGACGGUCUUGCUGUCACUUAUAGAUGGAUCCGCGCUGCAUUAGCUAGUUGGUAAGGUAACGGCUUACCAAGGCAACGAUGCAUAGCCGACCUGAGAGGGUGAUCGGCCACACUGGAACUGAGACACGGUCCAGACUCCUACGGGAGGCAGCAGUAGGGAAUCUUCCGCAAUGGGCGAAAGCCUGACGGAGCAACGCCGCGUGAGUGAUGAAGGUCUUCGGAUCGUAAAACUCUGUUAUUAGGGAAGAACAUAUGUGUAAGUAACUGUGCACAUCUUGACGGUACCUAAUCAGAAAGCCACGGCUAACUACGUGCCAGCAGCCGCGGUAAUACGUAGGUGGCAAGCGUUAUCCGGAAUUAUUGGGCGUAAAGCGCGCGUAGGCGGUUUUUUAAGUCUGAUGUGAAAGCCCACGGCUCAACCGUGGAGGGUCAUUGGAAACUGGAAAACUUGAGUGCAGAAGAGGAAAGUGGAAUUCCAUGUGUAGCGGUGAAAUGCGCAGAGAUAUGGAGGAACACCAGUGGCGAAGGCGACUUUCUGGUCUGUAACUGACGCUGAUGUGCGAAAGCGUGGGGAUCAAACAGGAUUAGAUACCCUGGUAGUCCACGCCGUAAACGAUGAGUGCUAAGUGUUAGGGGGUUUCCGCCCCUUAGUGCUGCAGCUAACGCAUUAAGCACUCCGCCUGGGGAGUACGACCGCAAGGUUGAAACUCAAAGGAAUUGACGGGGACCCGCACAAGCGGUGGAGCAUGUGGUUUAAUUCGAAGCAACGCGAAGAACCUUACCAAAUCUUGACAUCCUUUGACAACUCUAGAGAUAGAGCCUUCCCCUUCGGGGGACAAAGUGACAGGUGGUGCAUGGUUGUCGUCAGCUCGUGUCGUGAGAUGUUGGGUUAAGUCCCGCAACGAGCGCAACCCUUAAGCUUAGUUGCCAUCAUUAAGUUGGGCACUCUAAGUUGACUGCCGGUGACAAACCGGAGGAAGGUGGGGAUGACGUCAAAUCAUCAUGCCCCUUAUGAUUUGGGCUACACACGUGCUACAAUGGACAAUACAAAGGGCAGCGAAACCGCGAGGUCAAGCAAAUCCCAUAAAGUUGUUCUCAGUUCGGAUUGUAGUCUGCAACUCGACUACAUGAAGCUGGAAUCGCUAGUAAUCGUAGAUCAGCAUGCUACGGUGAAUACGUUCCCGGGUCUUGUACACACCGCCCGUCACACCACGAGAGUUUGUA
rnacentral:rRNA from 2 species